rnacentral:rRNA from 1 species
GCGUGAGUGAUGAAGGCCUUAGGGUUGUAAAGCUCUUUCGACGGGGAAGAUGAUGACGGUACCCGUAGAAGAAGCCCCGGCUAACUUCGUGCCAGCAGCCGCGGUAAUACGAAGGGGGCUAGCGUUGUUCGGAUUUACUGGGCGUAAAGGGCGCGUAGGCGGUGCGAUAAGUCAGGCGUGAAAGCCCCGGGCUCAACCCGGGAAUAGCGCUUGAUACUGUUGCGCUUGAAUCCAGGAGAGGAUGGCGGAAUUCCCAGUGUAGAGGUGAAAUUCGU